ensembl:lncRNA
AAACACCUUCAGGUAGCAGGUGACUGUGAAUAAACACCUUCAGGUAGCAGGUGACUGUGGAUAAACACCUUUAGAAAACAAGCGGGUGGAUAAACACCUUUAGAUAACAAUAAUAAUAAUAAUAAUAAUUAAUUUGAUUUGUAACGAUAGCAGGCGGCUGUGGAUAAACACCUUUAGAUAGCAGGCGACUGUGAAUGGAUGUGGAGAAAUCUAGUCCAGUAAUUCAGUAAGGGGAUCUAGGGUGUGUGUGUGUGUGUGUGUGUGUUGUGGUUUAGUAAGGGGAUCUAGGGUGGUCAGCAGAGCCUCACUUGUCAUCUUGAAAAGUAAAAAAAAAAAAAAAAUUAUAAAAUAAAAUAAAUAUUCAUAUUUCUCUACUAAUCUGUGGUAUAGGUGUAAAUUCUGCAUGAUUCCAAUCAUUUCGAGCUGAAUUCGCUGAAUUUGCGCAUGUCCUAUUCAAAUAGACGGGAGAAAACAAGGGACGUGCGG